GUCGGUGUGUCCGAGUGGUUAAGGAGUGUGACUAGAAAUCACAUGGGGUUUCCCCGCCUAGGUUCAAGUCCUAGCGCCGACG